UCCCUGGUGGCUCAGACGGUAAAGCGUCUGCCUGCAAUGCGGGAGACUCGGGUUCGAUCCCUGGGUUGGGAA
rnacentral:tRNA from 1 species